rnacentral:rRNA from 1 species
CUGCACGCGCGUUACACUGACAGAGGCAACGAGUUUUUUUCCUUGGCCGGAAGGCCUGGGUAAUCUUGUUAAACUCUGUCGUGCGUGCUGGGGAUAGAGCAUUGCAAUUAUUGCUCUUCAACGAGGAAUGCCUAGUAAGCGCAUGUCAUCAACAUGUGCUGAUUACGU